UUGCCCUAGAGGGGUGAGAGAACACAAGCCUUAGCUACCUCACAAAGCAGAAAGCUAUUCAUAAUACCCAUGGUUUCCCAACCCACCCUAAGACUGUCUGUACCAUUUUACGAAGACAGGUCCCCAGGACUGUGUACACCUGGACCAACACAGGCCGUGGACACAGACCUGAGGCUGCUUCUUGCAGGCUGCUCAAUGCCUUGGGCAGGCUUCCUGUGAUCAAUUCCUGGAGGCCUGAGGGCAAUCAGGGUGUAAACUUAAAGAAGCCUACAGGGCAAGGGGCAUGACAGGGAACAAGAGCACAGAGCUAAAUGGGACAUGACAAGGAAGGUAUGAGCCAAAGGACUCCUCAAGACAGGGAGUGGGGAGGAAGGGAUGAGUCAGAUUGCUAGCUGACCUUGGCGAUAGGCAGAAGCUGUAAGAAGGACAUCCCUUAAGCCCUGGGCAUCCUGCAAGGUCAAUGGAGCAUCUGACUCCUCAGCUGGGGGGCUCCAAGUUUUCAGAAGGGGCAGCAGAUCCUCAGAGGCCUCACUCUGAGGAAAGAAGGAUGAUCAGAAGCUCCAAGCCUAUAACCACCUCUUCUCCUAUCUCAGUCUAUCCUGGCUGGACCUUGAAAUCAAGGGUCCUCCUGAUUCCUAUUCCCUCAACUCUAAGAGAGAGACAGCAAGGAUAAAGGGAGGAAGAAAAACUUGGGGCACAGAUGAUCUGGUCUAGUGCACCUUCUCAUUCAGUAUAAGCCCAUGAGGACACUUCAGCAAGAUCAUAAAAGCCCCAACCCUAUCCAAGAUCAUUAAGCUAUUUUAAAAACCACUCAAGAGAAUCCCCCCAAUGAGAGACCAAGCAAAACAAGGUCACCAAGAGUCCCGGAGAGAACCCAGGUCUUCUGACCACCAACCCAGCAGAACUUCCCAGCACAAAAUGAUGCUACUGCAGCUGAGAGGGUUGAAAGAAGGGAAGAGGCCCUUAGAUACAGGUUACUUCCCACAUUACCUGGUUACCAUUCAAGGUCUGCAGCAGCAAGGUCAGGUCCCCAAGACAGUCAGUACUUAGCCACAGGGCAGCCUGCAGGCCAGCCAGGUGGUGAAGGGCAGGGAGUAGCUCCAGCAGAACAGAGGAAUAAUGGAGAACAGAGUCCCACAGCCCCCUGAGCCCACAUUCCAGUUUGGGCCCAAGCUGCUCCUGGGUCUCCAGCACUGUAGAAGAUACACACAUACAGCUGAGGUUGGGACUUCAUCUCUGGUUUCCUUUUUCUGCAGGAGCCCAAAGGUCACAAAGGUGCUCCUGGGCUAAAGAGCACCUGGUGGAUAAGAAAAGGGCAUCUCUCUCCCUGGCGGUAACAGAUUUUACUGCUCCUCUCAUCCCCUUUGCAAGGACUUAAACCCAAACAGGCUGGCAGGGAUAUGGAAAGCAAUCUCUAGCCCUCACCUCUCUCCAGGCUCUGUUGGAUAUCCUGUGCUUGGUCUUCAGUGAAACCCUGGGCCAGGCUUGCCUUCAUGGUAAUGAAAUUGCAGGUAACAGUCAAUUCCAAGGGGAGAACAGGAACAGCUGCAGGGAGACCUGAAGCAAACACAUGCUGAUCUCACUGACUACUUUCCCAGGAAAGAUUUCCCAGAUAAGAUCCAAACCCAAAGAUCACAUCACCCCAACCAAAAUGGCCUCAAUAAAGAAUCACCCUUUGUACAGAGUUUGGAAAGGGCAGAAAGUUCUUCAGAUUGGACCAUCCUGGAGACCAUUUCUUCAAAUGCUGGGGAGUGAGGGGAAGUGAGGGAGGGGGCAUGGCAGGGCUCAGAGAUUCACCUGUACCAAAGAGAAUUCCAUUUCAGUCUUGUCUGUGCCUUAAACAGGAUUCCCUGCCCCCUGGGUAAUUUUCUCAAUCCCAGAAAUGCAGAACUGGUCUCUGGCUGCGGAGAAGGAUAACUGACCGUCCUGAGGAGGAUCCUGCUUACCCUGCAGGCUAUGCAGGAGUCCCCUGAAUCCUUCCAGCACAUCUUGGGCCAGCUGCUGUCCUCUCAGAAACUGACGCGAGUCCUGAGCCACCUACGAAAUGUGGAAUGGGGUAUCACUGAGGAUCAAUCCUUAUUUCUCCCGUUGCAACAAUGGCAAAGGAUGUCUUUCUCCAGUCAUUUCUGGCUCCUGGGGGAAGGUCAAACUCAAUACCUCCCGUCAGCUGGGGUCUAGGCAGCUGGCGUGUAGUCCUGAGGAGCCCAGAGGGAUCUGGUGCGACAAGGUUGCAGAGGCUGGGCCCAGACCCCUGGAGGGUGCUGCUGAAAGGUAAGCCCGGCCUCGCCGAGGUCCCCACCCGAGCGGGGAAGGGUCCGUGCGCUUCUGCAUCCCCCCGUGACUCCCUUGCUCCCCUUAGGGCCCCAGGAGGGGCGGCUCACCCCCUACGCGAAAAAUGGAAACGGAAAAACUCUCUCCCGGACGCUGUGCCGGCUCCCACCCCCGCCUCUUCCACCUUGUCUCUGGUUGGCCAGGCCGUCAAAAUCUCGGCUGCGGUUGGUCGUCUUCAAGGGUUAGUCCCCGCGGGAAACUCGAAGAAGAAACGAGUCAGGGCCCAAACCAAGAGGGAGGCUAAGGCGGGUCAGGGGAUGGGAGUGUGUCUGAGUGGAGAGGUAGUAUUUCUUAAGGUUCAGCUUGCUAGUCUCUCAGGAAGGCCAAAACCCUGAGAAAUCGAUCUCGGUACCAAAACCCGUGGCUCAGCCCUUCCCUCGCAGCCAAACUCCUAGGUCGGUCUGGCUUGGCGCCGCCCCGCCCAAGGGAGGCCCGAGCAGUGCAUGCUGGGAAGCGUAGUACGGCCGAACGCAGCCACAAAAAUCCCAGCCAUGGCGCAGAGUUAUUUCCAAAAGCAACUGAAAGGAGACCAAAGCUUUUGGUCAACAACCCUUCCUUUCUUUGCUCACCACAGAGCACUAACACGCUACCACAUUCUGCUCAACCUCGUGCAGUCUGACUGCUGGCCAUGGAAGCCCUAGGCUUGAGCAGGACACACUGCUCAAAGGUACCUCUGAAUCUUUCAACAAAUGGACCCAGGAGACUUGGAUAUCCAUAUAUAAAAACAAAACUGUGACCCUUACCAGAGAUAAAAUCAACUCAAUAUGGAUAAGUUGAACUUUAUUAACAUUAAAAACUCUGAGGGCAAAACAAAAACAAACACCUCUGGGGCGCCUGGGUGUCUCAGUGGUUAAACAUCAGACUCUUAGUUUCAGCUCAGGUCAUGAUCUCAGGUUGGUGAAGUGGAGCCCUGGGUAGGGCUCUGGGCUACUGGUGCAGAGCCUGCUUUGGAUUCUCUCUCUCUCUGCCCCUCCCAGCCCACGCACCUCUUUCUCAAAAGAAAUAAACUUAAAAACAAAAACAAAACUUGUGCUACAAAAAGGCACCAUCGAGAAAAUUCAAAGAAAAAUCAUAAAGUGGAGAAAUUAUUUGCAGAGCAUACACAUAACAGAUCUCUAUCCACAAUACAUAACUCUCAAAGCUCAAAAAUAAAAAUAAUUUAAACCAUUUUAAGACAGAAAAAUAUGAAUAGACAUUUUACCAAAAAAAAAAAAAAAUACAUGAAUGGCUAAGCAGCACGUAAAAAGAUGAUCAACAUCAUUAGCUAUCAAGGAAAUGCAAAUUAAAAUCCUGAGACACCAUUAUACACGUACACUCAUAGUUACAAUAAUAAAACACAGGGGCACUCAGGUCAUGAUCUCACGGUUCGUGGGUUCAAGUCCUGCAUCUGGCUCUGUGCUGACAGCUCAGAGCCUGGAGCUGGCUUCGGAUUCUGUGUGUCUCUCUCUGCCCUUCUCCCGCUCACACUCUAUCUCUCUCAAAAAUAAAAUAAACUAUUACCAAAAAAAAUAAAAAUAAAACAAAACAAAAAAAACAAAAA